rnacentral:lncRNA from 10 species
AUGGCCUGGGGGCUGCUCCCUGUUGGUGGUUGGUGGUCCUGGCUACCUGCCGCGGCCUAGGCUUGAUUUUUGAUUUGGACCUUCCCAGGGGCCUCUUCCUGCUGUCUGGAGCCUUGCAUUGGAAGAAUUACUUUGCCUACCACCUCACUUGCUUUCAAACAAUUAUUUAUUUGGAGGAAAAAAAAGUCUUUUCUCAAAGGGCCCAGUCUACAUUUUCCAACUUCUGCCAAAGCUGGAGUCUGAGCCAUUACUUUGAAACCAAGCUGUGAAUGGCUCAUUCCUCACUAAUUCCCAAAUGGGAAUCUCAAUGUUUGUUUACUUUCUUAAAAAAUUCACAUUUAGCCUGAGGCUCAGCUGAAGGAAUUUUAAACAUUCUUUAAGAGCCGUAAAGAUGAGUUGGGAAUGAAAUGACCACUCAACUUUAACUAGAGCGAUCAUUUUUUUUAAAAGCAUGUCAUUAAGUACGCGGAGCUCGGUUGUGACUGAGGAAUGAUCUCCAGUCGCAGGGAGAAUGUUAAUUUCAUUGGACAUGUCUCUUGAAAUGAAUUUGUGGUUAAGGAACCAUUUUUGAGCCAGGAAAAGCCCUAUGAGAAUGAACGGCAUUAGGAUUCUGUGCACCCAGUCUUUACUGAAUGUUUAAUGUGGUCAGGGAAUUGUGCUAAGUGCUGGGCCCUGGCUCACCCUGUAAAACCAGCUACUGCUGUGUGGGGACAGCCGGCCGGAGAGCCAGGGCUCAGCGGAUCCAGUUGCAAUGUAUUUUCUAAGGUGAGGAAAAGCUUCCAGGAAAUUGUUACUAUUUCAACCUGGAGCCUGGAAGGAGAGAUGCACAGAGAAGCUGUGAACCCAACUUGUACAUCUUGAGCCAACCCCAGCUAUAUCUCGCCAAGCACGAACACAGAAGAAGUUGAUUAAUGCAAUUAGUGCGUAUACCAAGAUAUUGCUGGC